rnacentral:rRNA from 1 species
UACGAAGGGGGCUAGCGUUGCUCGGAAUCACUGGGCGUAAAGCGCACGUAGGCGGCUUUGCAAGUCAGAGGUGAAAGCCCGGGGCUCAACCCCGGAAUAGCCUUUGAGACUGCAUCGCUAGAAUUGUGGAGAGGUAAGUGGAAUUCCGAGUGUAGAGGUGAAAUUCGUAGAUAUUCGGAAGAACACCAGUGGCGAAGGCGACUUACUGGACACAUAUUGACGCUGAGGUGCGAAAGCGUGGGGAGCAAACAGG